rnacentral:lncRNA from 1 species
GAGGGAGUCUCAAACCCCACUAGAGGAUAACAACCCAGCAGAUACUGUGGCUACCAGGAACAGAGUUGUUUACAGGGUACCAUAGUGAUGAGGACAAGUCAACUAUAAAGGUGAGGGAGUCUCAAACCCCACUAGAGGAUAACAACCCAGCAGAUACUGUGGCUACCAGGAACAGAGUUGUUUACAGGGUACCAUAGUGAUGAGGACAAGUCAACUAUAAAGGUGAGGGAGUCUCAAACCCCACUAGAGGAUAACAACCCAGCAGAUACUGUGGCUACCAGGAACAGAGUUGUUUACAGGGUACCAUAGUGAUGAGGACAAGUCAACUAUAAAGGUGAGGGAGUCUCAAACCCCACUAGAGGAUAACAACCCAGCAGAUACUGUGGCUAC